rnacentral:tRNA from 1 species
GGGCUUGUGGCCUAGUCAGGAUAGGGCGUCAGCCUCCUAAGCUGAUGGUCGCGGGUUCAAAUCCCGCCAAGCCCG